UAAUAAGAAGCGAAAAUUUGCUACUGAUUUCGACUCAGUUUUUGGUUAUAAAACCCUUAUUUU
rnacentral:tRNA from 1 species